AAAAACAUUAAGAAAAGUUUUCGGGAAAAAAAAAGCCAAAACCCUCUUCCUUAAUCGCCGCCUGUCUAGCUGCCUCCACCGCAGCUGGAGCUACAUUGACAUCCCAUAACCGCCGCCGGAGCUACCUCUCCUCAACGUAAUUAAUUGGAAAAAUCUAAGUUCUUUAAUUGAAGUCUGCCACUUUCUCCCUCUACCCUUCAAUCCCAUUUAUCUCUCUUACAACCUAAUUCUUCAAACAUGUAGAGCCAUAUUUUUUCUCAGGUACAAUUUAUCUGGUAUGGAUUUUAGCAAUAGCAAUACGGUGCUGUUUGAGCUUCCUUGGUCUUAUUACUAGUUGUUAAGGAAACAAGUUGAUGCAUUUCUUCUGCAAGCGUGUAUAUGCUGUACUUCCUUUUCAGCCAUUAACCCUAGUUGGUCGAAAGUAAAAACGAAAAGGAAGAUCAACAGGCCAGUCAAUUCAUUGGUAGGGACCGGAAAAUACUUCAUGGUGGAACCGCUAGAUGACUUUGAUGUGUUAUUGCUGAUGUUGGUUUCUGCAAGCAUCUCAGGUUGAAGGAAUUUCUUUUUUGUUGAAGCAUGGAAGUUGUCAGUUUCUGUCAAAACCAGAAAUUUGUAAACAGAAGUUCUAUAUUAUCGGUUUACAUCUUCAUUAGGGGAUUCUCUCUCUGGUCAAUGAAGAAAAUCCCAGAACUUGAAUCUGCUCUAUCCCACAAUCGGCGUUGGAUUGUGAACAAUCAAAUUAAGAAUAUAAUCCUUAGAUACCCCAACCAGGUAGUACCCGUAAACUUCCUCCAGAAAAAGUUCAAGACCCUUGAUCUUCAAGGCAAAGCUCUUAAUUGGCUGAACAAAUAUCCAUGUUGCUUUGAGGUCUUUCGCGAAAACGAUGAACUUUACUGCCAACUUACAAAACGAAUGAUGUCCCUAGUAGAGGAGGAAGAGUCCAUCAAGGAAGAGCAGGAGCCUGUAUUUGCUGAGCGGUUAGCAAAGAUCUUGAUGAUGAGCUCAAACCAGAGGCUUAAUGUGGUAAAGCUUGAUGAGUUGAAGCGGAAUUUCGGCUUCCCAGAUGAUUAUUUAAUUAGAAUUGUUCCCAAAUAUUCAGAAAUGUUUCGGUUGAUCAAUUACAGUGGAAGGAGAAGUUCACUGGAGGUUGAGCUUAUAUCAUGGAAACCUGAGUUAGCAUGUUCUUGCAUUGAAUUGUCAUCAAGAAAGCAGAAUACAGAGCCUCGUUUUUCAUGUUUGUUGCCAUCAACAUGGGUUAAAUCUUGGGAAAGGUUUAAUGAGUUCAAUUCAACACCAUACAUUUCACCUUACACAAAUCUAAACAACUUAGUUGAAGGAUCAAAGGAUCACGAGAAAAGGACGGUUGCCUUGGUGCAUGAAUUGCUGGCUCUGACUCUUUGGAAGAAAAUCUCGAUCGUAAAGCUUACCCACCUCAGGCGAGAAUUUGCGUUGCCCGAAAAGUUAAAUGUUUUGCUGUUAAAACACCCGGGUAUAUUUUAUGUAACAAACAAGUAUAGAAUAUACACGGUUCUUCUCCGAGAGGGAUAUAAUGGCUCCAAGCUGAUUGACAAGGACCCACUUGUUGUGGUCAAGGAUAAAUUUGGGGAACUAAUGCAAGAGGGACUGCACGAGUAUAAUCAGCGAAGACGUUUAUUGAACCUAGAGAAGAGGAAGAAGAAGGGUGUAAUUGUACCUAAAUUGGAGAAAAGGAAGGACAAGAACGGGGAUAUAUCUGAAGAGGAAGAUCAAGAACAUAAGGUUGGACGUCUAUUCGAUCCCGAGGAAAGGAAAAGGUUUUACAAAAUCCUAUUUGAAGAGGACUCCUAAAGUUCUGUGGUGGUGUUCCUUUAAUUGGGCAUUCGUUGGAUUGACAGUUUCGUGAUUCUUUGUAAGUGUCUCCGAUCCGACCUUAUGUUUAUAGUUAUCCAUUUUUGAUUAAGAUUUCAUAUGAUGAAUAUUUGAAUUAGUUUGAAAAAUGCAAUUGAUAGGGAAAUACAGGUUUAUUGUUCUCCCUCUUUUUCCCUUUUGAUCUAUUGGCAUUAUAUCGUGUCAGUUGUGUCGUAAAUGUUUUCAAUUAUACCGAAUUUGUAUUACCCUCAUUGUAAAAGUGUAACAAACGGCACUUGAGGCCAAUUCAAGGGAUAUUUCAUAAUUUUUAGCCUUUUGGUUGAUAUCUGGCGGUACGAUGACCGCAUCAUCCCCGUUACCGCAUUGCCGUUUCUGUUGUUGCAAUGGUUUUUGCAUUUUGGCAGUGAGUUUUUCUAGUAAUUAAUUACUUCGUAUUUUAUGCACCUCGGAUUUCUGCUCCAAAAUGUUGUAACUAGGGCUAAAUGUUUCGUGAUGGCCAAAUUUGUGUGCCUUCAAUACCUCUACCCUCGAGAUUCAAGAUAAGAAUACAUUUAAUGCCAUUGAAUGUAUGAUGUUUGGGCCAUUGGGGAAUAUCAUUUACUCACUCAAUUUAAUCUACGCGCAGUUGCAAGUGCAAAGUUUAUAAAGAACUAUAUCAUCGGAAUCUGAUGUACAGAAUGUGGCUCUAAAUCGUUCUUCCUCGUAUUCAUAUGUUAUCCUGCACAACAGGAAGGAUUCUUGGAGCUCUACAGAGAAGCAGCAACCUUUCAAUGGGAUAGCAUGCGCCUUCUUGGAGCAAGAUUUGAGCAUAUCACAAAAUUUCGGUUAUUUCGUGUUUCAGAGUUUGCGGUCAAUCGACGUAUAUUUUGGUUGUGAUAAACUCAUAAACCUUUACAAUCCUGCGUUUUUUUUUGCGCUAUGAUUUUGUGGGGAAAAUGUGAGGUUUCAAGAUUUCGAAGUUCUCACUGAGUAUAAUUCAACAUUGUAUAGAAUAACAUCAAUGUUCAAAUAUUAUGGGCAUUCAAUUACUGAUGUUGAAAUGAUAUAACUUGUUUUUUCCU